UACGUAGGGCGCAAGCGUUGUCCGGAAUUAUUGGGCGUAAAGAGCUCGUAGGCGGCCUGUUGCGUCCGCUGUGAAAUCCCGGGGCUUAACCCCGGGUCUGCAGUGGAUACGGGCAGGCUAGAGGCAGGCAGGGGAGAACGGAAUUCCCGGUGUAGCGGUGAAAUGCGCAGAUAUCGGGAGGAACACCGGUGGCGAAGGCGGUCUCUGGGCCGAUACUGACGCUGAGAGCGAAGCGUGGGAGCGAACAGGAUAGAACC
rnacentral:rRNA from 1 species